CACGGGUGAGUAACACGUAUCCAACCUGCCGUCUACUCUUGGACAGCCUUCUGAAAGGAAGAUUAAUACAAGAUGGCAUCAUGAGUCCGCAUGUUCACAUGAUUAAAGGUAUUCCGGUAGACGAUGGUGAUGCGUUCCAUUAGAUAGUAGGCGGGGUAACGGCCCACCUAGUCUUCGAUGGAUAGGGGUUCUGAGAGGAAGGUCCCCCACAUUGGAACUGAGACACGGUCCAAACUCCUACGGGAGGCAGCAUG
rnacentral:rRNA from 1 species